GGCCGAGUAGCAAAGUGGUUACUGCGACGGCUUUAGGUUUCUAAUCCGCCGUUACUCGUGGGUUCGAACCCCACCUUGGUCA
rnacentral:tRNA from 1 species